UAGGGAAUCUUCCACAAUGGACGCAAGUCUGAUGGAGCAACGCCGCGUGAGUGAAGAAGGCUUUCGGGUCGUAAAACUCUGUUAUUGAAGAAGAACGUGUGUGACAGUAACUGGUCAUGCAGUGACGGUAUUCAAUCAGAAAGUCACGGCUAACUACGUGCCAGCAGCCGCGGUAAUACGUAGGUGGCAAGCGUUGUCCGGAUUUAUUGGGCGUAAAGCGAGUGCAGGCGGUCUUUUAAGUCUGAUGUGAAAGCCUUCGGCUUAACCGAAGAAGGGCAUCGGAAACUGGGAGACUUGAGUGCAGAAGAGGAGAGUGGAACUCCAUGUGUAGCGGUGAAAUGCGUAGAUAUAUGGAAGAACACCAGUGGCGAAGGCGGCUCUCUGGUCUGUAACUGACGCUGAGGCUCGAAAGCGUGGGUAGCAAACAGGAUUAGAUACCCUGGUAGUCCACGCCGUAAACGA
rnacentral:rRNA from 1 species